rnacentral:rRNA from 1 species
GAUGAACGCUGGCGGCGUGCCUAAUACAUGCAAGUCGAGCGAACGGACGAGAAGCUUGCUUCUCUGAUGUUAGCGGCGGACGGGUGAGUAACACGUGGAUAACCUACCUAUAAGGCUGGGAUAACUUCGGGAAACCGGAGCUAAUACCGGAUAAUAUUUUGAACCGCAUGGCUCAAAAGUGAAAGACGGUCUUGCUGUCACUUAUAGAUGGAUCCGCGCUGCAUUAGCUAGUUGGUAAGGUAACGGCUUACCAAGGCAACGAUGCAUAGCCGACCUGAGAGGGUGAUCGGCCACACUGGAACUGAGACACGGUCCAGACUCCUACGGGAGGCAGCAGUAGGGAAUCUUCCGCAAUGGGCGAAAGCCUGACGGAGCAACGCCGCGUGAGUGAUGAAGGUCUUCGGAUCGUAAAACUCUGUUAUUAGGGAAGAACAUAUGUGUAAGUAACUGUGCACAUCUUGACGGUACCUAAUCAGAAAGCCACGGCUAACUACGUG